GAACUAGUGGUCACUCACAGCCCUUUGAAAUUCAGGUCAUGCAUACUGAGAUGGUUGAUGCAACAAACAGGUGCCUGGAAGCACAUGCAUCGUACAGGCACCACAUGCGCAGCCUGCAUUAGAUGUGGGCAUACACUGCGUAGUAAACAGGCACAAAGCAAUUUUGAAGAACAUUCCUGGAAGACGACUACUGCUAUUCUGAAAUUGAACCUUCUCACUUGGGUAAGCACUGGAGGAAGUGCCAUAGCACAGCGGGUGAUGUUUUUCAUGCAGAAGGUCCCAGGGCUAUUGCCCACCCCUCCCAGGUAGGACUGGGAGAGACCCCCGGCCUGAAGGCCUGGAGAGCUGCCAGUCAGUGCCCACAAUACUGAGAUGGAUGGCGCAAGGGUCUAACUGGUUAAAAGUCAGCUGCUUUGCUGCUUCACACAGUUGUAGAGUUCUCUGUUGAAUGGAAAUUGUGGAGGGAAGCCUUUUCAAAAGUGGAUUUUUGUAUGCGGCAACUAUCCCUCCCAGAAACUUCCUUUCAAAAAACACAACAACACUGUUAUCUCAGAUUUGAAGGGGAGGGAGAAAAUGUCUCAGAACAGCAGGUAGCAGGCAGAAAGUUUUAAGUCCCUUGAAAGCGAGAACUUCAGCUAUUGAGGCAACAGCUGAGCAGAGAAUUCCACAGUGUUACCAGCCCAUUUUGCUGCUAGGAAGAGGACAGAACGAGUGUCUUCUGCAAGGGGUUUGCUAAGGUGAAGUGCACACCAGAGAGAGGCAAAGAAUCCUUAGGACCCAGGGGAAUCCACAGAAACUAAUCUCAUGCAUUCAAUAUGAGGAGUUCCUCCCCUCACUGGUCAGGGAUUCUCAGGUGUCCAAGUAACAAAGCUCCCUCCUCCUCCUCCUCCUCCUCUCUUUUCUCAGCCAGCUGCUUUCCUGGAACUCUCUCCUCAGACUCCAUGCCCGUCCUCUUACUAUCCCCUCUCGCCCUUCCCAAUGAAGCGGCCAGGGAGUAAAGCUGCACCAUGAACGACCACUACCACAGGGCAGCCAGGGAUGGCUACCUCGACCUGCUGAAGGAAGCCACCAAGAAGGACCUCAACUCGCUGGAUGAGGAUGGCAUGACCCCAACCCUAUGGGCCGCCUACCAUGGCAACUUGGAUGCGUUAAGGCUGAUAGUUAGCAGAGGGGGUGACCCAGACAAAUGUGAUAUCUGGGGGAACACGCCUCUUCAUCUGUCAGCAGCCAAUGGUCAUCUCAAUUGCCUCUCCUUCCUGGUGUCUUUUGGGGCCAACAUCUGGUGUUUGGACAAUGACUACCACACUCCACUGGACAUGGCAGCCAUGAAGGGCCACAUGGAGUGUGUGCGUUAUUUGGACUCCAUUGCUGCCAAGCAGAGUGGCCUCAACCCCAAGCUGGUGAGCAAGCUGAAGGACAAGGCCUUCAAGGACGCAGAGAAGCGGAUUAAGGACUGUGUAAAGAUGCAGAAGAAGCACCACGAGAGGAUGGAGAAGCGGUACAAGAAGGAAAUGUCUGACCACUCGGACACUAUGAGUUUUUCCAGCUACUCCAGCAGCACUCUGAGCAGGAGGUUCCAGCACAUGUCUAUGAUGACUUCCUUGCCAUAUUCUCAGGCCACCAUACACGGCACAGCCAAGGGCAAGACCAAAAUCCAGAAGAAGCUGGAGAAAAAGAAGCAAGUGGAUGGCACCUUCAAAAUCUACGAGGAUGGGAGGAAAAGUGUGAGGUCCUUGUCUGGUUUGCAGCUGGGCAACGACGUCAUGUUUGUGAAACAAGGCACCUACGUUAGCCCAAAGGACUGGACGCGGCGCAACGUUAGGGACAUGUUUAUGACGGACGAAGAUACUGUCUCCCGUGCCAUAAGUGACCCAGGUUUGCACAUGGACUCGGCCCAUUCUGAGGUCAGCACUGAUUCUGGUCACGACUCUUUAUUCAAUCGACCUGGACUUGGCACGAUGGUUUUCCGGAGGAACUAUGUCAGUAGCGGACUGUUUGGAAUUGGCCAGGAUGACCCCAGCAUGCUGGGAGAGGACAGGAUGGGUGUUAAACUUCACAACCGCCUGCAGCGCUCGCCAAGUCUCAAUGACAGCAUCGGCAGUGCCAACAGCCUGCAGGAGAGGAAUGUGGAGGAGCUGCCGUGGGAUGAGGUGGAGCUGGGCCUGGAUGAUGAUAUCGAACCCGAGACGAGCCCUCUGGAGACCUUUCUGGCUUCCUUGCAUAUGUCUGAGUUUAUUUCAAUCCUCAAGAAGGAGAAGAUUGACCUAGAAGCUCUUAUGCUGUGUUCGGACAAUGAUCUGAAAAGCAUCAACAUUCCACUGGGGCCCCGGAAAAAGAUGCUGGAUGCUUGCAAGAGGAGGAGACAGACUAUGGAGAACCCUGAAGUCAUAGAAGACACUGAGCUGUAAGCAAUUGAGCCCCCUCCUUUCACACUCAUGGAAUGCACACAGGUCUUCAGCAUGCGAUGCACAUAGCAUAGAAUGAUAGCUGUUUUUAAGGAACAAGAAAUGAACAGAAAAACAAAACCCCAGUUCUAAGUUGCCAGAAAACAUCUCCCAGUGAUCCUAACAGUGGGAAAUAAUGAACGCCAUAAUAAAAGGCCCAAUUCUAACCACCUCUCAGCUUCCUUUCUCUGCUUUCCUGCCUGCAGACUUUUGCCAGAGAACAGCCUCUUGCUUAAGAGCAUUUUGGGGACAUGAGUUGCACUACACUAAUCUAACCAUGCAGUCUUAUACAUGUCUACUCAGAAGUAAGCCCCAUCAAGUCCAACAGGACUUACAGGGCCUGUGGCGCUCCAGCUGUUGUUGAACACUUUCCCCCACCACAGGAUUUCCAGGCCUAUCCUAUAUGAACAGCGACGGAUGAAGGAGCUUCAUUUGAACCAAACCUUCACGACUCUGUGAUUACCACCACCAAGAUUUGCAAUGUCAGUGGAAUCCCACCAGUAUUGUAACUUUGGCUAUCACAUUGUGAAGCCACCUAGGGCCAAGUUGAGCAGGAGCUCACCUGCAUUUCCUGCUCUGAGAACUCUAGGGAAAUUGCUCUUAUUCCAAGUAACUUUGCACAGUUCAGGCUGCAUGACUUGGAGUGGGAGGCAAAUGUAUGGAAAUAGGCAUGAGUGGAAUUUAUUUUUUUAUGCCUGCCUUGUCUUUAUGCCUGCUGCUUUCACUUACUGUGACUGGAACGAACACACACACACACACACACACACACACACACACACUGUCUUAAGCCUCUUUUCCCCACAAGGUUUAUAUUUUUGCUAAUGGAUGGGCUGGUCUAUGUUACAGAACUUCUCCUGGUGAUGUAUCUUCAUCAGUUUUGCAAAGGCUUUGUUGCAAUGUUUUAAAUAAAGGUAAAACAAGCUAAGCCAUACCAAUGGGAUUGGUGAAGAAAACUCCACUGACAAAAUAUAGGGGCAGACCUUUCAGCACAGGACAGCUUAUUGCCAUGUGUAAACAUAGGUCCCUCCACUCACAGAAUUGUAGAGGGUCAUCUAGUCUAACCCCCUAGGAAUGAAGGAAUCCUGCCCACAGCCGCCUCCCCUGAGCCACUGUCAUUUGACAGCAGUUAAGAGCAUCUGAUCACAUAUGCAUGUGGUUUGAAUCCAAAGGACCAAUACUGGGCAAAUUUAAACUGUGGUAAACUGAAUUUUAGCCAAGCUCUUUGUUUAUAUUAGCCAUUAAACGAACAACCUAAACUUGGUUGCAAUUCUCAAGCCUACUUUUAUUCAGUAGGAUUUCUCUGGAGCAAGUGUUGUGUGGUUUGAGAUCAUGGAGAGAAACCGUUUCCCUUUCUCCACUUUACAUGACUCUCUUGUGCCCGACCAUAUCUACAGUGUAUAUCUUUCAGGCUGCAAUCUUAUGUGUACUUGGCAGUAAGCCUGACUGAACAUCAGUGGGUGGAAUCCAAUGUUGUGCAAACUUUCUCUUGCACAAUGGGCCUUCACUGCUUCCGUCUCUCUCUCUCCUGUGAACACCCAAAUUUUGCUCUGGAUAGGGAAUCCCCACCAUCCAGAACACAUAUUCUGAGGUGUGAAGAGGGCUGGGAGAGGGAGAAGGUGAAGUCCUAUUGCAUGAGCAGAAGUUAAUUUUACAAUCCAACAGGGACUCAUUUCUGAGUAAAUAUGCAUAAAAUUGGGCUGCAGUUUGGAAAUGUUUGUGCAUUUACAGUACAUCUCCUAUCUUCUAUGGAUGUUUGGUAUGUUUUGUAUUCCUUGUAUGUAUGUAUGUAUAUCCAACCUGUAAAAGGACCCUGUUGUUUACCGCUUAUUUAUUAUACCAUGUGCAUACUAUUCCCUGCCACUGCCUGAUUACAAUAUUUUUAAUAAAAAGA